rnacentral:rRNA from 1 species
UGGGGAAUUUUGGACAAUGGGCGAAAGCCUGAUCCAGCAAUGCCGCGUGUGUGAAGAAGGCCUUCGGGUUGUAAAGCACUUUUGUCCGGAAAGAAAUCCUUGGCUCUAAUACAGUCGGGGGAUGACGGUACCGGAAGAAUAAGCACCGGCUAACUACGUGCCAGCAGCCGCGGUAAUACGUAGGGUGCAAGCGUUAAUCGGAAUUACUGGGCGUAAAGCGUGCGCAGGCGGUUUGCUAAGACCGAUGUGAAAUCCCCGGGCUCAACCUGGGAACUGCAUUGGUGACUGGCAGGCUAGAGUAUGGCAGAGGGGGGUAGAAUUCCACGUGUAGCAGUGAAAUGCGUAGAGAUGUGGAGGAAUACCGAUGGCGAAGGCAGCCCCCUGGGCCAAUACUGACGCUCAUGCACGAAAGCGUGGGGAGCAAACAGGAUUAGAUACCCUGGUAGUCCACGCCCUAAACGACGUCAACUAGUUGUUGGGGAUUCAUUUCCUUAGUAACGUAGCUAACGCGUGAAGUUGACCGCCUGGGGAGUACGGUCGCAAGAUUAAAACUUAAAGGAAUUGACGGGGU